CCCUACGGGGGGCAGCAGUGGGGAAUAUUGCGCAAUGGGGGCAACCCUGACGCAGCAACGCCGCGUGCGGGAUGAAGGCUUUCGGGUUGUAAACCGCUUUCAGCAGGGAUGACAUCGACAGUACCUGCAGAAGAAGCCCCGGCUAACUACGUGCCAGCAGCCGCGGUAAUACGUAGGGGGCAAGCGUUAUCCGGAUUUACCGGGUGUAAAGGGAGCGUAGACGGCAAUACAAGUCGGAAGUGAAAUACCCGGGCUCAACCUGGGAACUGCUUUGGAAACUGUAUGGCUGGAGUGCUGGAGAGGUA
rnacentral:rRNA from 1 species